CCUACGGGUGGCAGCAGUGGGGAAUAUUGGGCAAUGGGCGCAAGCCUGACCCAGCAACGCCGCGUGAAGGAAGAAGGCCCUCGGGUUGUAAACUUCUUUUGUCAGGGACGAAACAAAUGACGGUUCCUGACCAAUAAGCCACCGCUACCUACGUGACAGCAGCCGCUGUAAUACGUGGGGGGCAAGCGUUAUCCGGGUUUACUGGGUGUAAAGGUCGUGUAGGCGGGAGAGCAAGUCAGAUGUGAAAUUCCAGGGCUCAACCCUGGAACUGCAUUUGAAACUGUUUGUCUGGAGUGAUGGAGAGGGAGGCGGAAGUCCGUGUGUAGCGGUGAAAUGCGUAGAUAUCCGGAGGAACACCAGUGGCGAAGGCGGCCGGCUGGACAGUAACUGACGCUGAGGCGCGAAAGCGUGGGGAGCAAACAGGAUUAGAUACCCGGGUAGUC
rnacentral:rRNA from 1 species